rnacentral:tRNA from 2 species
AAGGAUUUAAGUUAAAUAAACUAAUAGCCUUCAAAGCUGAAAAUAAAGGGGUCUUUAAGCCUUA